rnacentral:lncRNA from 1 species
GUGGGGCAGGGCAGGGCGGGGGGGGGCAAGGGGAGUGGUGCAGCAUGUGCACUGGGUGCUCUGCUGACCUCCCAGACCCCCUUCCCAGCGGCCGUACCUCCAUCUGGGGCCUGGGAUGCUGCGCAGACCCUAGGCCCCCCUCAGGCAGCUCCUGCCCCUCCCCACGGAGGAGAGGCCAUUAAGGUGCUGGUGGCCAGAGCCCGCGGGCGUUGUCUUUAGGCUGCCGCAUUUUUCAUGGGACAUGGUGCAGAAGCAGGAUGGGCGGGAGAGUCCCCCAUGGACACUGGACAUUCUUCCGCUGUCAUCUCCACAUUUGCUCCUGGUGAGAAUGUGGGCUUCAGCCCUUCCCACGUAGCUGGUAGGCCACAGAUGGGCGCCUCUCCCCAGAGCACAUGCUGCCUCCUUCCCCUGUGGCCUAGUCAGCUCCUCCGGUCCGGCAGGAGAGUGGAGAGCGCUCGGGGCAUCGCCAGGUGCGGGCUCAGCCGGGGCAGCGGGCUCAGGGCUGACACCAGCACCUUCCGCACCAGCACAGACGCCAUGCUGCUGCGGCCCACCCUGCGGAGGGCAGAGCGGCAACAGGUAAGGCCUCCCCGCUCCAUGAGGAGCUUCACCACCCGGGGCCUCCCUUAUCCCCACCCCCACCCCCGGGGAGCCUCCGCUCCACCCUCACCCCUACCCCCACCCCGACUCCGUGAGCCCCCUGCACCACCCUCACCCCUACCCCGUGAGCCCCCUGCUCCACC